CCUGAAAAAUCAACUGAAAUGGCGGGGGAGCACAGGAUUUGGCAAGUGCAUCACUGGAAUUGGUUAGGGAAGGACCGGGCUUGACCGGUGACCGCUUGGCGUGGUCACACCGAGCGUUUCCGAGUGGUAGCCGUCCCCCAUUGGGUUUAAAGGGUCCGUAGCCGGCCUAUUAAGUCUCUUGGGAAAUCUGGCGACUCAAUCGUCAGGCGUCCAAGAGAUACUGGUAGGCUUGGGACCGGGAGAGGUGGGAGGUACUCCAGGGGUAGGGGUGAAAUCUCGUAAUCCUUGGGGGACCACCGAUGGCGAAGGCAUCCCACCAGAACGGGUCCGACGGUGAGGGACGAAAGCUGGGGGCACGAACCGGAUUAGAUACCCGGGUAGUCCCAGCCGUAAACGAUGCUCGCUAGGUGUCAGGUGCGGUGCGACCGCAUCUGGUGCCGCAGUGAAAACUUGAAACCGAGUCACCUGGGAAGUACGGUCGCAAGGCUGAAACUUAAAGGAAUUGGCG
rnacentral:rRNA from 1 species